AUUGAACGCUGGCGGCAGGCCUAACACAUGCAAGUCGAGCGGAUGAAGGGAGCUUGCUCCUGGAUUCAGCGGCGGACGGGUGAGUAAUGCCUAGGAAUCUGCCUGGUAGUGGGGGAUAACGUCCGGAAACGGGCGCUAAUACCGCAUACGUCCUGAGGUAGAAAGUGGGGGAUCUUCGGACCUCACGCUAUCAGAUGAGCCUAGGUCGGAUUAGCUAGUUGGUGGGGUAAAGGCCUACCAAGGCGACGAUCCGUAACUGGUCUGAGAGGAUGAUCAGUCACACUGGAACUGAGACACGGUCCAGACUCCUACGGGGGGCAGCAGUGGGGAAUAUUGGACAAUGGGCGAAAGCCUGAUCCAGCCAUGCCGCGUGUGUGAAGAAGGUCUUCGGAUUGUAAAGCACUUUAAGUUGGGAGGAAGGGCAGUAAGUUAAUACCUUGCUGUUUUGACGUUACCAACAGAAUAAGCACCGGCUAACUUCGUG
rnacentral:rRNA from 1 species